AGACCACUGGGAAGCUUACGUGUAACAGAACUGAGUUGCUACAGUUAAUGUGUGAUACCAGAAACAGAAUUCCAUGGAGAUAAAAACAUGAAUUAAGCACAGAUCCUGCCUUCAAGGAACUUCACAUCUAAUGGGAGAGAUGGACAAGUGCAUAUUGUUUACACUCAUGGAAGACAAAGAAGGAGAAGGAGAGGAAGAAAAAAGGAGGAGGAGAGAAUGGCAUCCAUUCUUCCAAAACAGUUACCUGUAUGCCAGCUGGUCCUCUCAUAAAACCAGACCUCAGG